CCGGUGAACCCAAUGAAUUCGAAGACCCUAAGGUUUAAAUCCCUAAGGCCUACACAAGGAUGAUCCUUGAAGUUCCAGUCCAAUCCAUUUGGGCACCCUACAAAUAUUGUCUGCACAAGCAUUCAACAACAGGAACAACAAAUCUUAUAGUUCUCAAAUCACAAGCAGAGAAUAUCCACCUCCAGUGUAAAUUUGUAUAAUGAAGGAGAUGCUUUCAAGAAAGCGGAACAAUGAAUGAGGUAACGUUUAUCAGCUACACCAAUUGUCAUCUUCAAAUGCUUUAGAUUAGGUAAUGCAGGAAUUUUGCCGAGGAACUUCCCAAGCACCUGAAACAUUUUGAUAAGUUGCAUGAAUAAACUUGAAAGCUGGUGCAGAUCACGGAUGACAUAAGAGAGAUAAGGACCCCCAAAAGAUACCUCUGAAAGAUUUUC